UCACCGUGGUUCAUGAAUCAUAAUGUAUUGAUGUUCUUCUAAUUUCUGAGUCACAAAUAGGUAAAUUAUAUGCAUAUUAUUAUAUUUUCUCUGAAAUACACAACAUGAAUUUUUAAACCAGAAACCAAUUUGAAUUUCUAAAAUGACUAUGACACCGGUGUGUUCAAGAGCUGUGAGAAAGACGCGCGACAAGGAUUCAGGUAGCUCUCUCUCUGAGAAUCCGAGCGACACAGCACCUCUAAAUCUCCUUCGCCGCCGGAGACUUCAACGCCACCGUCGAGCCAAGCCUAAGUCUGUUAUCAUCACACCGUUCUGUUCACAGAUGCGCCAUCGAGAGCCAAGGGAAUUUUUAAGUGCUCACCAUGUGUUCGAUAAAUUGUCAAUAUGAGUUCAAGUGUAAUUAAACGAAAUGAAAUAACAAUUUGUGCUUUGUGUGCAUGUGUGAAUGCCUUUUAUUGCUAAAAUUUUUUGUUAACAUCAUGGUAGCUUUGCAUUUAGGGCUACUUUACAAGCCUGUGAUGUUGCUAUUCAAUCUGAAAGCAUUGAAAAGCUAAAUGUAGUAGAGCUGAAAUUCCAAGAUAUCAUCAAUCCUCUCUCACUUGAUGCUUCCACGGGAAGAUUGACAACAUGGAUAAAAAAUGGAACUUGAUUCAACACUAGGAUUGAUGAUCCCCAAUGCUUGGUCAACUGCUAAGGAGUUAAAAAUGAUGAAAGAUUAGGUACUAAUCGAAGGAAAUUGCAAGGAGCUGCUACAACACUUUCAGAUGCUAUGCUUACGAAGUCUCCCAAUAUGGCUUACCUCCCUGGGGGAAUCAACUUGCUUAUGGCUCUUAAUGCUCGCUAUUGAUUGAUGUGGGUAAUUUAACUCUGUACAUUCCAACUUCUCUCAGGUUCGUUCAAAUUUGAAAUUUUAUUCCACUAUGGAAAUAUGUCAUUUUACCUCUCAAGCGUUUAUGAUUUUGUUUAUGCUGGAUUUGAUGGCAAACUAUGCCAUAGGUUCUGAUUCCGGGACUAGAAAGUGUUGGUUGAUUAUAGUUCAAUUAUCAGCUGCUAUAAUGAGAAGACCAAAGAAGAAGAUCUGAAAGCAAUGCAAGUGGAUACGACAGUUUUGGGCCUUUCACAAGAAGAGGCUGAAAAUAAACCAUCAUACAUUGCUUCCAUGGGAGUGUACAUAUUCAAAAUGUAUUAGAAAGAAAGAUAAGGGAUUCAGGUUUCAUCCAACCAAUGAAGAGCUCAUAAGUACUACCUCCCACAGAAGGUUCUUGACAGCUAUUUCUAUGCUAUAGCCAUUGCGGAUGCUGAUUUGCACAAGUGUGAACCAUGGCCAGUUAGAUAGAGCUGCUCAUAGAAUGGGUACAAAUAUCAUUCGUAUUCAGGAACACAUACUAAACCUGGGAUGCUUCUGCCAAUGCUUUCUACUUAUUUUAGGUAUCAAUUAGAUAACAUCUAAUGUCUGACGACCUUUGUUAAUUUUAUCACUUUCAAGGCUUUUUGUGCAUGUUGCAACUCAAUUAUAUACAUAUAUAUAUAUAUAUAUAUAUUGAUUAGUUUUGUUUUGUGAAUUGGAACUGUCACAUGUGUUUUGACAAUUGAUAUAGUGCUUAAUAGUAUCAUCAAUCUCUAAAUGUUUAAACUUGAAUUUGGAUCUAACUUGCCAUUUUUGUAA